rnacentral:rRNA from 1 species
CCUACGGGAGGCAGCAGUGAGGAAUAUUGGUCAAUGGACGCAAGUCUGAACCAGCCAAGCAGCGUGCAGGAUGACGGCCCUCCGGGUUGUAAACUGCUUUUUGCUGGGAAUAAAAGGGGGCUCGUGAGCCCCGUAUUGUAUGUACCAUCAGAAACAGGACCGGCUAAUUCCGUGCCAGCAGCCGCGGUAUUACGGAAGGUCCGGGCGUUAUCCUGAGUUAUUGGGUUUAAAGGGAGCGUAGGGCGGCUUUUAUGUCAGCUGUGAAAGUCCGCGGCUCAAGCGUGGAAGUGCAGUUGAAACUGGAGGCCUUGAGUGCACACAGGGAUGCCGGAAUUCAUGGUGUAGCGGUGAAAUGCUUAGAUAUCAUGAAGAACACCGAUCGCGAAGGCAAGUGUCGGGGGUGCAACUGACGCUGAGGCUCGAAAGUGCGGGUAUCAAACAGGAUUAGAUACCCUAGUAGUC